UAAGGAAGCUGGUGGAAUGGAAGCCUUUUCAUGCCAUAGAAAGGGAGCAUUUCAAAGGUGCGUAGAUGCCACCCACCUAAAUUGCUUCUUGGUGGAUGUGACCCAUGGAGAAUGUGUUUCCUAAC